rnacentral:rRNA from 1 species
CCUCGGAUCAGGUAGGGAUACCCAGUCU